AUGAUUUCUUCGGAAUGAACUUAAGUGGAUUAGUGGCGGACGGGUGAGUAACGCGUGAGUAACCUGCCUUACACAAGGGGAUAGCCGUUGGAAACGACGAAUAAUACCCUAUGAUGUUUCUAUCUCGCAUGAGAUAUUAACCAAAGUGUUAGCGGUGUAAGAUGGACUUGCGUCUGAUUAGCUAGUUGGUGAGAAAAAAGCCCACCAAGGCAACGAUCAGUAGCCGGCUUGAGAGAGUGUACGGCCACAUUGGGACUGAGACACGGCCCAGACUCCUACGGGAGGCAGCAGUGGGGAAUUUUGCACAAUGGGGGAAACCCUGAUGCAGCGACGCCGCGUGAUUUAGAAGGCCUUCGGGUUGUAAAAAUCUUUUGUAUAGGAAGAAAAUGACAGUACUAUACGAAUAAGGUCCGGCUAAUUACGUGCCAGCAGCCGCGGUAAUACGUAAGGACCGAGCGUUGUCCGGAAUCAUUGGGCGUAAAGGGUACGUAGGCGGGUCAUUAAGUUAGAAGUCAAAGGCUAUAGCUCAACUAUAGUAAGCUUCUAAAACUGGAGACCUUGAGUAAUGGAAGGGAAAGUGGAAUUCCUAGUGUAGCGGUGGAAUGCGCAGAUAUUAGGAGGAAUACCGGUGGCGAA
rnacentral:rRNA from 1 species